GUCUACAGCCACACCACCUUGAAGGCACUUGAUCUCUGAAGCUAACGGUAAGGUCUGGUUAAUACUUGGAUGGAAGAAUGAGACUUUACGUGGGAAAAGAAGAGCUGAUGCACU
rnacentral:rRNA from 1 species